GUGCCAGCCGCCGCGGUAAUACGGAGGGUGCAAGCGUUAAUCGGAAUUACUGGGCGUAAAGCGCGCGUAGGCGGUUUGAUAAGCGGGAUGUGAAAGCCCCGGGCUUAACCUGGGAACGGCAUUCCGAACUGUCAGGCUAGAGUAUGGUAGAGGGUAGUGGAAUUUCCUGUGUAGCGGUGAAAUGCGUAGAUAUAGGAAGGAACACCAGUGGCGAAGGCGGCUACCUGGACCAAUACUGACGCUGAGGUGCGAAAGCGUGGGGAGCAAACAGGAUUAGAAACCCUGGUAGUCC
rnacentral:rRNA from 1 species